rnacentral:tRNA from 1 species
GCUGGGGAUGAGGCUCAAUGGCAGAGCACUUGCCUAGCAUGUGAGAGGCCCUGGGUUCAAUCCCAAUUACAGUG